rfam:Trichobilharzia regenti genome assembly, scaffold: TRE_scaffold0081413
GUACUGAUGAAGAGUCCCAGAAUGGGACGAAACAGCUGUCCAUUAC